AGCGAACGCUGGCGGCAGGCCUAACACAUGCAAGUCGAGCGAACUCUUCGGAGUUAGUGGCGGACGGGUGAGUAACACGUGGGAACGUGCCUUUAGGUUCGGAAUAACUCAGGGAAACUUGUGCUAAUACCGAAUGUGCCCUUCGGGGGAAAGAUUUAUCGCCUUUAGAGCGGCCCGCGUCUGAUUAGCUAGUUGGUGAGGUAAAGGCUCACCAAGGCGACGAUCAGUAGCUGGUCUGAGAGGAUGAUCAGCCACAUUGGGACUGAGACACGGCCCAAACUCCUACGGGAGGCAGCAGUGGGGAAUCUUGCGCAAUGGGCGAAAGCCUGACGCAGCCAUGCCGCGUGAAUGAUGAAGGUCUUAGGAUUGUAAAAUUCUUUCACCGGGGACGAUAAUGACGGUACCCGGAGAAGAAGCCCCGGCUAACUUCGUG
rnacentral:rRNA from 1 species